AAAAGAAAACCAGCGCACCCUGUGGCCCUCUAAAACAAACUGUUUUUGAACCUUGCUUUGCAGCACGGCCCGGGCCAGUGAUCCCAGGAAGCAUCCAGCAUGCCUGGCAGAAGCCAAAGCUCUCCCUGACCCCAGAGAGCGUUUGGGAAGGCGAGGCUCUCACUCUGACCUGCGCUGUGGAGAGCCACCCCCGGGGGAAGCUUUCCCUGCACAAGCUCGGCGAGCCCCGCCCGCUGAAGGAAGGGCUCGCUGCCCAGCUCACGCUCACCCUGCCCAAUGUCAGCAGAGAGGAUUCUGGGGAGUACAGCUGCGUGUUCCAGCAUGGCAAGAACACAGGCACAUCGACCAUUCAGGUUUCGGUCAUGCAAAAGUUCAACAAACGCAACUUGGGGAUCAUCGUGGGAGUGUCCUUGAGCAUCGCCAUCAUCUUCCUCCUCUGUUGCAUCUACAUGGUACAUAAGAGGUUAAAAGGAAAGAAACAGAAACAGGAAAGAGAAGUGAACGAUCCUUACACCACACUGGACCACAAAACAAUGUCCCCUGAUUAUGACAUCAUAAGAAGGACGACGGCAAACUCAUAAGAGUCUUGACCAGAGGCUGUAUGCCGCCCACACUAUCUUUGUGAUUUCUGCUUACUUUGUUUUAGGUUCUGUCGUGGCACAGUUUGAUUAUUUUGCGAAUAUUAAAGGGCGUCCCUAUUCCUUCCCUUUAAGCAAUGUUAGUUGUCACUUUAUCACUCAUUAUUAAGUUAUUUUCCAUUAUUUAUUACUUCGGUCAUCUGGCACUUUAACUGUGCAGGUUUAUAAUGUUGUCUAUAAUAAAAGACUCAAAAAACAAGAAUAAACACUUUCUCAUAGUUGGGUCAUAAUUUCAUCAGAGCCUUCAAUUGAGUAGAAGAGUAGAAAACGUCAAAUUCAUUGAUAUUCUUAAUUUCUGCAUAUUUGUGUCCUGAACUUGAUUAUUGCAUUCUAUUUGCUUUCGUUUCAUAUAUGUGUAAUUGUUUGCUUGCUUCUUGUGUUUUUCUAUUUUAUCAUCCUGUUUUUCUCUCUGAAAAUCAGCACAAAUGAGUACAAAUCGUUAGCCUGGCAGGACUGUAGCGGAGGCAGAGACCCUGGUGGUGUUCAGCCGCAUGCUCAAUGUAGCACUAGGUACUCUCCAGCCCUUACAGGACAGUGGUGAGUGCUAUAAUAUUCUUUGGUUGCUAGGGGUAAAUGGUGAGUAAGAGAUACUCUCUGGUUGCUAGGGGUAAAUGGUUGAUGCUAGGUUGCUGGUCGUUCAUUUAACACGCAGUCUCAUCUACAAAACAACCCCCCACCCUUGACAUAAUGGACAAUACUGUCUAUCUUGGCAUUCAUAAAAAUAUUCUUUCACCACUAAAAAAUCAUAUUCCGUCAUAGCAACAAGAUAAACCCGACAAUAGCCCUAAGAUAUGCCUAUACAGCAGUGAAAACGCUGCUCACUGAAUAACGAAAUAAACGAGAAAAAGUGUUUUAAAAUGAUACCACGUCAUUCUACAGUCAAUAUCUGGGACUAAAUAUUGAAUAAAUAUACAACCUUACUGGUGGUUUUACGUGUAGAGAUGAGACUGCGUGGUCAUAUAUUGUCUUGGACAAUCCGUUCGGGAAAUACAGGCGCGUUUGUGACGCCUGGGUAUCUUCCAAAAUAACUGUGCGUAAUACCACACCUGUUUUUUACUGUUUAUUACUUCUCAAAAUACUUCGGUUAUAUACGUUAUUUUUGAAAUUGAGAGUCUUUAAAUAGGUUCGUGGUAUUAUAUAAUGUGGAUAUUUCACACUGUGAUGUAAGCGUUAGUUAGGGCUGUAGUGUUUGUGAAGCAUGCAACAGUGAUGACGUAAGAAUUGGAACAUUGCCAAAACGUGGUGGACAGUUGAAAUUGUAUUCAUGUUGUCCCAUCCCCAUACAAGAAAACAUACGAGAGCACAGAGUAUAGAAAUACAUACAAGAGUUAAUUAUUGCACAUUUAGGUACUGUACCGCAUUGUGUGACAAUAAUUUUGCAUUAUUUUUAAUCUGAUAGCAAUGUUUCAUCUUAAACCUUCAUAAGGGGCUCAUUUAUAUGCUUUAUAGUGAACAAAAAGCAUUUUAUUCAAUUUUGGAGAGAUUUUGGAUAUGUUUCUGGACCCCUAGAUAUUUUAGACAACUGACUGAAAGCUUGUAAUUCCCACUCGAAAAUUAUGCAACAGUGAUUUUCUUGAGUCAAAACAGUUGAUUUGUUGUGAAAUAUGUGAAUAUGUUGUGAUUUACAGCAAUGCAUAAUUUAGACAUUUUGGAUAGAUUUGGAGACACUGGGUACACUGCUUAGUUUUUGCUUCAUACAUCUAUAGUAGUUCUACAUAUCCAUCCUUAGUCAAGAAGUUUUUGAUCUAGCACAUGUAUAACCUGCUGUAUAUAUGCAAUCUCUCAGUAUUUCAUUGCAAACUUAAAAAGUGCAGAUUCAAAAAUCAUUUUUGAUUUUUUGUCAAAACCAUUGCAUUUGUGGCACUUUAUUUCUUCCAAAAUUAUGAAUAUAAACUAAUCUGCAUUAGUAUUGUAAAUUACAAAUGUCUUGCUUCAUUUAAGCAAUUUUUUUAAGUCUCUGUGGUGUUCACAUCUGGAGUGAUAGAGCUUUAAAUAGGGUACCCCCUAAAUGGGCAAGGAUUGGCAAGAUUUGGCUUGUGCGCUAAGGGGUUAAAGAUUGUAUUGAUCAAGAAUAUAGUUAAAUGUAUGUGAUUAUGUGAAGGUCGAUGAAGAACAGCAGGUGUUCUAUGUUAUGUCUAAGAAUUUGUAACUAAGGAAAGGCUGAUGUAUACGAUCUAGAGAAUCUUUGAAUCUCAGUUUCAGGAGGAAAAUUGUAAACAUUUACUUAUUGGAAUUUUGUAAGUAACUUAUGUUGGGAAACAAUCUUGUGCAGAAGACCUUUGAGUUGCAAGAGAUGAGAAAGGACACACCGACCUAGAAAGAAUUGCUUUGUUAUAUCUAGUUAUUGUAUAGAUUAUAUUCUACUAAAAUGAAUAAAUGAAAAUCAAAUUAAUAACAGCAACAGUAAUAAUAUACACAUAUUCUGUUAGAAUAUGCUGGUGUGUAUGUAUAUGAGUUAAAUAUUUCAUGUGGAAUACAGCAUGUAUUGAAUGCAUUUAAAGUGCAUGUACAUUGGAACCGGAAGAUUAAACAAUUGUUAAUCGUGAGAACAAAUACUUGUUAUUCAAGUCACAAAAUGCAUACCUCUGUAAGUGUGUGUGGUGAAAUAUCUGUCAUUUAUUGAAAUUGAAAAUUAUAUAAUAGUUAUUGUUAAACUAACUGGUGACACAUAAGUGUGACCUAGGCUGGGAUUGGUUGUUUUAGAGGGAAGAUACAUCAUGGUAGAGGGAAAUCUGAUUGAAUAAAAAAGGAUGUAAAACGUAAUUCGGUGAGCUCUCUGUGUGUCUUUAUGGUACUGGAGACCUCCCAUAGGCCUAUGUGAAAUAAAAAGAUAAGAAGAAAAUAAAAGAGUAUUAGUAGAAAUCA